GGCCGGCCGUCCCGCCCCUGGGGCACAGCCCGCCUCGCCCGAUUAUGUCACCCGUGCUCAAAACAAAGUUAGGAAAGCGGUUUCAGCCUCUCCGCGGUCCCGCUUCCAGCCCGGGGAGCGCCGGCCGGGCCAGCCCGAGGGGCCGGCGCCUGCGGCAGUUUUCAGAUCAGAAUUUAUGGGUAAAUGGGAUAGCAGCAUCCCAGGAUAUUCCUGAGCUGAGAUUGUAACCAUGGACAGAAUAAGAGGAGACUACACCAGUCCUGUGCAACCAGGAGGUGCAGAGAGGAGCAGGACUGGAGAACAAGACCCAGAACUGACUGUGUUGGGAAAAGCACAAGAGUUCUUUCAGAUUUGUGAUCUGGAAGGCAAAGGCUUCGUCACUCGUCAAGACAUGCAGAGACUGCAUCCCGAGUUACCUCUUAGCCUGGAAGAGCUUGAAAAAGUUUUUGUUACAUUGGAUGCUGAUGGCAAUGGCUCACUUACCCCGAAGGAGUUCAUCACAGGAUUCAGCCAAUUUCUUUUGGAGCAGAUUGCUUUGAAAAAUGACAUGGUGCAACCAUCAGAAGGUGAAACAGCCUGCCCAGUUAGAUACGAAGAGACCAUGACUGGUGAUGAGGAUGAAGAAUUCCAGUUCUCAAAUCUCAUGGAUCGGCUUGGAGCUGCAAAGGUUUUGGAUGAUGAGACUGAUGUGAAACAACUUUGGUUGCAGCUAAGAAAAGAAGAACCUCAUUUACUUUCCAAUUUUGAAGAGUUCCUGGUCAGAAUUUUUUCCCAGCUCCAAGAAGCAGAUAAUGAGAAGAAUGAGUUGGAGUGUGCUCUAAAAAAGAAAAUUGCUGCUUAUGAUGAAGAAAUUCAACAUCUCUAUGAAGAAAUGGAACAGCAAAUCAAAAAGGAGAAGGAGCAGUUUCUCUUGAAAGACACAGAGAGGUUUCAGUCCCAAAGUCAAGAGCUGGAGCGCAAGCUGCUGUCAAAAGAGCAAGAACUGGAACAGCUGGUUCAAAAACAGAAAAGGUUAGAGCAUCAGUGUACACAACUCCUCAGUGGCAAAGAAGAAACCAAAGUAGAGAACACCAAGCUGAAGCUGACUAACCAGGAGCUGCUGAGAGAGCUGGAGAGAACAUCCCAUGAGCUAAGCCUGGCUCAACAACAGCUACAGGUGCUUCAGGAGGAGGCAUCAAGGCUCCAUGAGGAGAAGGAAAUGGAGGUGUACCGGGUGACAGAAACCUUACAGAGAGAGAAGUCGGGACUUUUGAAGCAGCUGGAUUUUUUAAGAGAGAGGAACAAACAUCUCAAGGAUGAACGUGACAUAUUUUUGCAGAAAUGCAAAACAACUGUUCCAAAAGCCAGCUGGAAGCAGAGGUCAGGGUCUAUCAUUGGGAAAUACAUAGAGGGCAAGAUGCUGCCAAGCAGCCAUUCAUUUGACGAAGAUGAUAUUUUCAGUAAUUCAAAGAGAAGGAAUUCUGCUGGACUGAAUGGAGUUCUCUCUGAAGAGCCUGAUGCUGGAGUCACUGGAGGAAUGCCUAAAACAUCACAUCUCCAAAGAAUAAUAUCAAUUGAAGAAGAUCACCUACCCCAGCUUCUUGACAGGCUGGUUGAUAAGCAGCUGAGCAGAUGGACUGGAGAAGACGAAAAUACUUUUGAGACAGAAAUGAAUGACAAAUCCAGAGAGCAAUCAAUGGAACAUUCAUCAUCAUCUUCUAGAGAGCAGCCUGUAGGGAAGGAAACACUGUCAAAUGAGGAGAGAAUAAACUCUGUUCCAGAGCGCUUAUUCAAGAUCGUUUUUGUGGGCAAUUCGAGUGUUGGAAAGACUUCAUUCUUAAGAAGAUUUUGUGAAGAUCAUUUUUUCCCAGGCACAGCUGCUACUGUAGGUGUGGAUUACAACGUGAGAACUGUCUCAGUAGAUCACACCCAGGUAGCGCUGCAGCUCUGGGACACGGCUGGCCAGGAACGGUACCGAAGCAUUACCAAGCAGUUUUUCAGAAAAGCUGAUGGUGUCAUUGUGAUGUAUGACAUAACAGCAAAAGACACAUUCACAGCUGUCAAGCAGUGGCUGAUAAGCAUUGAGGAGGCAACUGGGGAGAAUGUGCCUGUUCUUUUGUUGGGUAACAAAACCGAUAACGAAAAGGAGCGCGAGGUCCCGAUGGGAAUGGGAGACCAUCUUGCAAAGGAUUACAAUUUAAUUUUCUAUGAAUGCAGUGCAUAUUCUGGGUACAAUGUGGAAAAGUCCGUGCUUCAUUUAGCUAGGAUUUUAAAAGAACAUGAAGAUAAAGUGAAAGAGAAAACCAUCGAACUUCAGUCUGAUACAAAUAAAAAGUCAUGCUGUAUGAGGCAAUAAAAUGCUGAGGGCAUGUUUAGACAAGCCAUACAUUUGUAAAACACUACCUGGCACUAUCAAAUUUGCUUUUAUCUUCCAAAUAUUUCUUCUGCUGUGUUCUGACUGUCAGUGUAAGUGAAAGUUAAAAUCCUUAUAUGAUCUGAUCUUGCUUUUAUAAAUAUUGUCUUUAGUUAAUUGACAGUGUAUCUGGGGCAGUAACAGUCUUUCUGUUUGAUGCCUAACACCACUGAAUCCUGCUUUGUCAUCAGGCUUGUAGAAGCUGCCACAUUAUUAAUAAGAAGAACUAAUUUUAUGAGAAGAAAACUAUUUUGAAUAUGAAGUAAAUUCCUACUUGUGUGAAUAACCCAUCCUCUGAAUACUGCUUAUUUCAUUUCUGUUCAGACCCUUAGAUCCUGAUUUUGUGCUAAGCUCUCUACAGUUUUUUAAAAAUUGCCAUAGGUGUAGUUGUUUGUAGUUCAAGAGAUGUUAAGGCUGACUGAACAGCUCUUUGUCUCCAAAAGUCUGUCACAGGAGGUGUCAUAGAAAAUUUUGGAGGUAAAAUUUUCAGAAACAGCAGAUCUUAUUUUGAGGAAGAUUUUGAAAAACUUAACUUUCACAUUAAAUGAGUGAAAAAUCUCACCGAAAUUCAGUGAGAUAUUGCUCUUUUAGCAAUGCUAAGAAAAAAUUCCUCCUCAUGUUGGUAAACACUUGACUGCUUUUUUAAAAGCAGCUGCCACACAACAUUCCUCCAGGGCCUGAUAGCACUGAGACACAUAGUUUACCCAUGGGGAUGCGUUUUAGAAAAUCAUGGCCCAUCCUGUAUCAUAAGAAACACAGAUGUCAAUUAUCUUUGGAAGCUUUUGUGGAAUAUAAAUGGAAAUAAGAAACUUGAGAGCGCGUCACCCAGCCACCACAUGAUCAACAAUUAUUCCUGGUGGGAUGUGUCUUCACUGCAUCCAGCUCUUGUGAUCAAGACUGAAGUUUGCUGAUGGAAACGUGUGUGUAAACAACUCCUGUGACUUGCAGUGCUCUUUUUCUCCCACUCUGCCCUACACCUCUCCCCAGGAUCAAGCAGUAAAUCAGGUUUAAUGAAAAGACUGAAUGUCCUGCAGCUAUGGGGCACAAGGCUCAUUCAGAUAAAUUCUGACCAGCAGCUUGCCCACAUACAACUGGUCCCUUUUAUUCUACCUUCUCUUGAUUUUUUCCCACGCUUAUUCUUAUUCCACCUACCCUGACCCCUCCCUUUCUCUGUCCUUCAUAUCCCUAAGAAACAACUUGUUCCUAGUUGCCUUUUCCCUGUUAGUCCCAGGUUUUCUACAUCUGUACUCACGUAUCUAUUUCUUCUGCCAUUUCCUGUCACCUUGACUUUAUGUGUUGUUGUUGAUACAGUUACUGAGGUGGUGCUGACCUUGCAAAUUUCCACUCCCAAAAGAGUCCCAAAUAUUCCCCUGCAAUUAUUUGUGAGGUUACUGUGUAACUCCCCCCCUGUCCACCUUGGAAGUCCAGGCAUGGCACACAGUGCUGUUUGUAACAACUUUCAGCUUUUCACUCUGUUAUUUGCAGUGUUCAGAGUUGCUUGUGUCAUGUCCAGGAUUUCUCAUGGUCUGUUUGGUUAUCUAAACCUCAGGUGAGGGCUUAUUCACCUGUUGGCACACCUGAACAAACAGCAGUUACGGGUGGACUCAUGCUCACUGAAGAAGUUCUCCAUUGGGAGAAAUUUAUCUCUGCCUGGUCAGGUACCCAGUACUGACAGAUCUCUGGAUAUGCACAGUACAAAGGCCAUUUGCAUGGAUGUAACAGAGUGCUCCUAACCCUUUGGAAGUGAAUGUCCAUGAAUUACUGUGUGCCAGUCAAAACAGGUUCCAGCCUGCCCAGAUGUGAAUGGCACAACAGUGGAAAAAAUCAUUGCACGGUAUAACCUCCCUGAGAGAAGUGUACAGCACCUCCUCACAUACCAGAUUUAAGGAGUGAUCUGCAGCUGUUAAAAUGGGAAUGCUCCACAGACCACCCUGAAGCAAGUUUGCCUCUGAAAGAACUGCAGUCAGUGGUCACACCCCAUACUGGAGCAGGGACAAAUGAGGAACAGGACAACUGGGAGCAUUGGGAUUGAAUGGCUGGAACCAUAUUAUUUGGGGUGGCAGAAAGCAUUACACACAGCCCCACAACUUCCUGUGCUGCCUGUUCGCUCCCUGGACAAAUUCUCACAGACUGAUUUGACUUCUUGACUUCAUAGUGAAAAAAAAGGAAGCUGAAACUCAGGAGCAGAAGAGAGAAAGAAUGUGAAUAAAUACAUAUGUCUAAUGGUUUACACUCCUUUUCCUUCCCCAGAACCUCAAUCAUUGAUAAAAGAUUUGUGUACUUGGGUAGUAAAUUAGCUCAAGUAAAAUUUCCCAACUUGGGACCAUUUUUGUUUGCAGCAUCCGUAUAUUGGCAGAAUUUUCUACCAUGUGAGAUCAUUUUGAAAUAAAUCCACUUUAUCAUCUGCACAA